GGUCGCGUGUUUUUGUGAGGGCAAACUCGUUUUCCAUUUUCGCGAUUAUUCUUUCACCUUCUCCGAAGAAAAUCGACGGCGAUUUUCAGGCGAUUCACUCUCUAGGUUUGGUUGGAUUCGAUGUGUUUGUGAUUGUAUGUUUGUCUCAAAGUUUCGAUUUUCGAUUUGCGGAUGUGUUUCCUCCGUCAGUUGCAUCUCUUCGAUUCCAAUCCUUGAAAUGAGAUAAAUCUUGUUCUCGAUUGUUUUUGUUGUUUGUGGAAUCAAAGAAGUGCAACGCGGCGGAUCCGGCACUGCUAAUCCUGCCUUGGCUCAGAAGCUGUACCAAAGCGGAUUCUCGAGUUGAUGAAUGUUCCUGGUUUAUGUAGAGAAAAUGUGGCUAGUCAUUUACAGAAAUUCCGAUUGUACUUGAAGAGAUUAAGCGGUGCAGCUUCGCAGAGUAGACACAGAGUCUAUCAAAAGAUAUGAAAACAUUCAAGCUCUGGUUUCCUCAGGACAAAUACAUCCACAAACAUUAGCUGCAUUGUGUGGUCAACCAAUAGACAAUCAUCUCUCUGCUAGUUUUGGAGUUUGAUUCCUAAUGCAGAACUGAUUCUCUCAAGAUUUAUUAAUUGGGUUCUGCAUUAGGAAUUGGGUUGAUGUUUGAUGCAGAACUGAUUCUCUCAAGAUUUAUACGGAUGAGGAACUCACAUAGAUGGCUAUGAAAGAAGCCUUUC